rnacentral:rRNA from 1 species
UACGGAGGAUGCGAGCGUUAUCCGGAUUUAUUGGGUUUAAAGGGUGCGCAGGCGGAUUUUUAAGUCAGCGGUCAAAUUGCGGGGCUCAACCCCGUACUGCCGUUGAAACUGCAUCCCUUGAGUGCGCGAGAAGUAUGCGGAAUGCGUGGUGUAGCGGUGAAAUGCAUAGAUAUCACGCAGAACCCCGAUUGCGAAGGCAGCAUACCGGUGCACAACUGACGCUCAGGCACGAAAGCGUGGGUAUCGAACAGG